CUUCACAUACGUCGGAAAUCCCGAUUUAGGCGGCCAAAAGUCAACUUUCUAAAAGUAGGCUUAUCGCAAAACUAAUUGGCUCUCGAAAAACACCACACUAUCACGGAUUUAAUCCCACCCCAUUACUACCCCUAUCAGUUUCGCAGGUCAUAUACGAGGUUCUCGAAACUCGGUCAUCACACUCGUUGCACACGCAGUUCAUAGCACUCUUAUCCGAAGCAAACAUUUCUAAGUCAUUAUUUAUUUUUGUGGAGUUUUUUUGUGAGUGAAAGUGAUGGAUAUCAAAAAUACAGGUUCAGCAAAUACCUCGGGUGUAAAAGUUGUGACUCGAAAAUAUCUGUUUGACAAGAUGAAUGAACCAAAAUUCCAGUCAAUAACAGAAAAAUUUGACUUCUUGGAAAAUUAUCUCCUUAUAUGCUCAAGUGACGCAGACAAAGAAAAACAGGCUAUGAAGCAUAAAUUUUCACAUUUUAAAUCAGAAUUUAAAAAGAAAUGGACUAAAUCACGUCGUAUAGUGGAAAAAUUUCUGACAACUAAUGGAUCUUGGUUGGAAGGAACAUUUGAAAUAUCGAUUAAAACUCAUCGCAGGCGCGGUCGGCCGUCCAAAUCGUUCAGUGAGUCUAGUGAAAGAACAAAACACAGGAAAACUGAUAACUUGCUCCACUGUAAAUAAAGAAGUUAUAGAUCUAAAGUUAAUAAAGCGGAUUCGAAUGAAACAGAUCGCCUUACUCCGCAACAAGCACUGACUUAGCAGUACGAGAAAGAAAAUUCGCGUUAAAUCAUUUCUGCAAGAAACUAUGCAGCUAUUGAUUUCUGCUGAGCCACAUAUAGCAAGAGCUGCCGCAGCGCAGAGCGAGGAAUGCUUCCAAAGCAAUACAGAUGAUUUUUCUUUAAGAUACGAUGAUGAUUAAUAUUGUUUUGUAUGAA